GACGAACGCUGGCGGCGUGCUUAACACAUGCAAGUCGAGCGGGGGAGGUUGCUUCGGUAACUGACCUAGCGGCGGACGGGUGAGUAAUACUUAGGAAUCUGCCUAUUAAUGGGGGACAACAUCUCGAAAGGGAUGCUAAUACCGCAUACGCCCUACGGGGGAAAGCAGGGGAUCACUUGUGACCUUGCGUUAAUAGAUGAGCUUAAGUCGGAGUAGCUAGUUGGUGGGGUAAAGGCCUACCAAGGCGACGAUCUGUAGCGGGUCUGAGAGGAUGAUCCGCAACACUGGGACUGAGACACGGCCCAGACUCCUACGGGAGGCAGCAGUGGGGAAUAUUGGACAAUGGGGGGAACCCUGAUCCAGCCAUGCCGCGUGUGUGAAGAAGGCCUUAUGGUUGUAAAGCACUUUAAGCGAGGAGGAGGCUCUUUUGGUUAAUACCCAAGAUGAGUGGACGUUACUCGCAGAAUAAGCACCGGCUAACUCUGUGCCAGCCGCCGCCGUAAGAC
rnacentral:rRNA from 1 species